rnacentral:rRNA from 1 species
GACGAACUGUCCUACCGUUGUUCGGAAUCACUGGGCUUAAAGGGCGCGUAGGCGGUCCGACAAGUCAGGGGUGAAAUCCUGCAGCUUAACUGCAGAAGUGCCUUUGAUACUGUCGGUCUUGAGGGAGAUAGGGGUGUGCGGAACUCACAGUGGAGCGGUGAAAUGCGUUGAUAUUGUGAGGAACGCCGGAGGCGAAAGCGGCGCACUGGAUCUCUUCUGACGCUGAGGCGCGAAAGCUAGGGGAGCGAACGGG